rnacentral:rRNA from 1 species
UACGUAGGGGGCAAGCGUUGUCCGGAUUUAUUGGGCGUAAAGAGCGUGUAGGCGGCUUUACAGGUCCGUUGUGAAAAGCUCGAGGCUCAACCUCGAGACGCCGGUGGAAACCGUAAAGCUAGAGUCCGGAAGAGGAGAGUGGAAUUCCUGGUGUAGCGGUGAAAUGCGGCAGAUAUCAGGAAGAACACCCGUGGCGAAGGCGGCUCUCUGGGACGGUACUGACGCUGAGACGCGAAAGCGUGGGGAGCAAACAGG